rnacentral:rRNA from 1 species
AUGAAUGCCAGCAGGGGCUUCCCAGGGAUGUUUGGCAGUAUAGACUGCAUGCACUGGGAGUGGAAGAACUGCCCUUCUGCUUGGCAAGGGCAGUAUAAGGGCCAUGUCAAGGCUUGCACUGUCAUACUAGAGGCCAUGGCGUCUCAAGGUCUCUGGAUCUGGCAAUCUUUUUUUGGCAUGGCCGGAUCACACAAUGAUAUCAACGUGCUUCAGCGCUCGCCGGUGUUUUCUAGGCUUGCCGAAGGCAACAGCCCACCGGUGAACUUUACUGUGAACGGCCACAACUACGACAAAGGAUACUACUUGGAUGAUGGUAUCUAUCCUCAGUGGACCACUAUUGUCAAGACAAUACCCAAUCCUGUCGGAGAGAAGAGAAAAAUAUUUGCCCAAGAGCAAGACAGUGCUAGGAAGGAUGUCGAUUGUGGCCUUGGUGUUUUGCAAUCUCGAUGGGGCAUCGUUCGGUAUCCUACUAAUACCUGGAGCACGCAGAAACUGUGGGAGGUGAUGACUGCUUGUGUGAUCAUGCAUAAUAUGAUCGUAGAAGACGAGUGCCCGGAACGUCUCUACGAUCAAGGGUUUCAGUUUCAGGGUGAGAAUGUUGUGCCUGAGCAUGGAGGAGCGGCAAUGUUUGAACAGUUCACCUAA